GACAGAGGGUGCAAACGUUGUUCGGAAUUACUGGGCGUAAAGCGCGCGUAGGCGGCUUUGUAAGUCAGAGGUGAAAGCCCGGAGCUCAACUUCGGAAUAGCCUUUGAGACUGCAUCGCUUGAAUCCGGGAGAGGUGAGUGGAAUUCCGAGUGUAGAGGUGAAAUUCGUAGAUAUUCGGAAGAACACCAGUGGCGAAGGCGGCUCACUGGACCGGUAUUGACGCUGAGGUGCGAAAGCGUGGGGAGCAAACAGG
rnacentral:rRNA from 1 species